rnacentral:misc_RNA from 1 species
AAGUCGUAACAAGGUUUCCGUAGGUGAACCUGCGGAAGGAUCAUUAACACGUAUCCAACGUUAAACCCCCCGUGAACCUUCAGUGCGCUCGCACUUUGGUAAAUCAUUGCCGAACAGUUUUGAUUCAGGGACUUCUGCGUAGACUGUGGCAUUCCUCUGCUUGUUGGUGUCUGAAAGUGUCACCAGCUCUGUACGAAUGGCGCAGUCACGAUCGCUAGAGGCCGACACGGCCGGCGACCGGGUCACUGGGCGCGAGCCCCCCUCGUCACCUUUGCAUGAAAACGGGCCUGCGCUUAAUUGUGCGGCCACCAAACUCGAACAACUGUUAACAAUGGAUAUCUUGGUUCUC